GACGAACGCUGGCGGCGUGCUUAACACAUGCAAGUCGAACGGAAAGGCCUGCUUUCCCUUGUGGAUUGCGGGUACUCGCGUGGCGAACGGGUGAGUAACACGUGAGUGAUCUGCCCCCAACUUGUGUAUAAGCCUGGGCAACUGGGUCUAAUUCCCGCCAGGACUGCAGGGUGGUGUCUGUGGUGGAAAACGAUGUUCUAGUGGUUGGGGCUGAGCUCGCGGCCUAUCAGCUUGUUGGUGGGGUAAUGGCCUACCGAGGCGGCGACGGGUAGCCGGUCUGGGAGGGCCGGCGGGCACGGUGGGACUGAGACACGGGCCAGACUCCUACGGGAGGCAGCAGUGGGGAGUAAGGCGCGAGGGGCGUUGGCCUGAGGCCGCAACGCCGCGGGAGGGAUGACGGGCGUCGGGUGAUGGACUCCGUUCGGCCGCGAGGAUGCCACCGUGUUGGAAGGGUGGUGACGGUAGUGGGAGAAGAAGCACCGGCUAACUACGUG
rnacentral:rRNA from 1 species